rnacentral:rRNA from 1 species
CCAGCAGCCGCGGUAAUACGAGGUGGCAAGCGUUGUCCGGAAUUAUUGGGCGUAAAGCGCGCGCAGGCGGUCUCUUAAGUCUGAUGUGAAAGCCCACGGCUCAACCGUGGAGGGCCAUUGGAAACUGGGGGACUUGAGUACUGGAGAGGAGAGUGGAAUUCCAUGUGUAGCGGUGAAAUGCGUAGAUAUAUGGAGGAACACCAGUGGCGAAGGCGGCUCUCUGGCCAGUAACUGACGCUGAGGCGCGAAAGCGUGGGAAGCAAACAGGAUUAGAUACCCUGGUAGUCCACGCCGUAAACGAUGAGUGCUAGGUGUUGGGGGGUUCCACCCUCAGUGCUGACGUUAACACAUUAAGCACUCCGCCUGGGGAGUACGGCCGCAAGGCUGAAACUCAAAGGAAUUGACGGGGGCCCGCACAAGCAGUGGAGCAUGGGGUUUAAUUCGAAGCAACGCGAAAACCUUACCAGGUCUUGACAUCCUUCGCUACUUCUAGAGAUAGAAGGUCCCUUCCGGGGACAAUGAAAGGUGGUGCAUGUUGUCGUCACUCGUGCCGGAAAGUUGGGUUAAGUCCCGCAACGAGCGCAACCCUUGAUCUUAGUUGCCAGCAUUCAGUUGGGCACUCUAAGGUGACUGCCGGUGACAAACCGGAGGAAGGUGGGGAUGACGUCAAAUCAUCAUGCCCCUUAUGACCUGGGCUACACACGUGCUACAAUGGAUGGUACAAAGGGCAGCAAAACCGCGAGGUUGAGCGAAUCCCAUAAAGCCAUUCUCAGUUCGGAUUGCAGGCUGCAACUCGCCUGCAUGAAGCCGGAAUUGCUAGUAAUCGCGGAUCAGCAUGCCGCGGUGAAUACGUUCCCGGGCCUUGUACACACCGCCCGUCACACCACGAGAGUUUGUAACACCCGAAGUCGGUGAGGUAACCUUUCGGAACCAGCCGCCGAAGGUGGGACAGAUGAUUGGGGUGAAGUCGUAACAAGGUAGCCGAU